GUCAGUGUGGUAUGGUGGUUUGAGUGCUGGACUAUGACUCUGAAGACCAGGGUUCAAAUCCCAGCUUGGCA